AUGUGUAUGAUGAUGAUGAUGGGAUGGUGUGCAUGUUGAUGAUGGGUAUAUGGUUGUAAAUGCAAAUAUGUAAGCAUUUGUUUUGUUGAAAUUUGGAAGUUUACAUGUGUUACAUGUUGCUAUUGUUAUUUUAGCAGGAUGACUUGUUUUAAGGGAAAAAAGAGACUUUUUCCUUGAUGUUCUGGUUCUCGCUGCAGCGAGAAUGAAGUUCGCUACAGCGAGAAACUUUCUGUCCAUUUUGCUAACUUGUGAGUUUUUGCCAUAUUUCUCAUUUCUUUGGUACCAUAGUUGAGCAUGGAUUUUUGUAAGUGAUUUACUCAUGUGGGGUUUAAAGGAGCUAAAACAAUUGCAUGGUUUUGAGAAAAUGAAUGCAUCAUGAUUUCGAUAAACAUUUCUUAUGGUAUGCUUUUUCCCAUCUUGUUCACUCACUGAGUAUUGUACUCACAUUUUAUAAAAAUUCAUGUUUUCAG
rnacentral:lncRNA from 1 species